UACGAAGGGGGGCUAGCGUUGCUCGGAAUUACUGGGCGUAAAGCGCACGUAGGCGGCUUCUUAAGUCGGUGGUGAAAUCCUGGAGCUCAACUCCAGAACUGCCUUCGAUACUGGGAGCUCGAGCCGGGAGAGGUGAGUGGAACUGCGAGUGUAGAGGUGAAAUUCGUAGAAUAUUCGCAAGAACACCAGUGGCGAAGGCGGCUCACUGGCCCGGUACUGACGCUGAGGUGCGAAAGCGUGGGGAGCAA
rnacentral:rRNA from 1 species